rnacentral:lncRNA from 1 species
UUGACAGCUGGUCUCCUUUUCAAGGAGCAAUCAUCAGUGACCCAGUGGCAUUAUUCUUUCUUCACAGGAAAGAAGGAGGAGGAACGUUCAAUGGCCCUGCAGUGCAGCAUCAACACGUUACUCCAGCAGGUCUCCCAAGUAUUUCAAAUUCUGGAUCAAACUUUGCCGUGGAGACAGGAGGUGCCAUAUCUUGAGUUCCCGCUUUUCCAAGCAUACCUGGAGAACUACCGAGGGAUAGCCAUGCCGCGAGACGAGAUAAUUCACCGACGAGCCCUGGAAUUGGCAGGAGGGGAGAGGAUUAAUAAUACAUGGACUGACUCCAGAUCUGCAGUUGGCAUAGGGCCUGCUCAGGGUGAUGUCUGGAACAGAAGAUUGCGUGAAGCUCGAGGGGCAGAGGGGAUAGACGGACCUCCAAGGCACGCCCUGGGAUUUUCCUGGCGGAGCUCCACUCAUCUCAGCUUGCCUCUUGGAGAGACAGACAAGGACCUGCUGGCGUGCGGUGGACAUGGUAUGUAUGGAGGGGCCCCCUGGAGAAAAGAGAGAUAGGAUGGCUGAAUAAGUCACUCAGAGACGUUUGAGUGCUCAGCCUGUGCCUGCAGGCAGCAGCCCGAUUGAUAGAGCAACUGGGAGACAGGGAUUCACUGUCCAAUAGUGCAGCCGCUAGCGACCCUGGAGGUGGGUUCAAGUGGACUCGUGUGCGUGUGUGUGUGUGUGUGUGUGUGUGUGUGUGGUGUUCAGACACUGUAUCGUUGUAUAGUUAAUGCAUUGUGUGGUUAAUGUUAGUGUGUUUGUAAUUGUGUUUGAUGUACAAAAGAGAGUAUAUCUACAGUGUGGAGGGGUUUCUACCUGCGACUGGAGGGCCCGAGUGAGGCCUGAGGCACCGGCCGGGGCAGGCUGUGGGGGCAGGGAACACCCAGCAGAAAAUCAGAGCAAGUAGUGGAGAAGCGUGGGUGAGGAUGUUCAUUGAGUAAAGGUAGUGAAUUGUAGUGUAGAUUGUGCACGUUUUCACCGUGGCUAGACGAACCCAAGGGGUUCCUCUGCCCCGGUGGUUUGGACUCGACCCCUGGGAGUUUGUGAAUCCUGUGAAUUAUUGGAUAGAUAGAGGAGACUAACAAGUUCAUUUAGAGAGGCUUUACCAGACUUCAGCUGGUACUAUAGUAAGUCUGGACUGGGAACAAGGUGCCGCAGAGGAUUUAGAGUUUCCUGUAAUAAAUGGAAUAGCCUGCCUCUGUGGGCA